AUUGAACGCUGGCGGCAUGCUUUACACAUGCAAGUCGAACGGUAACAGCACUUCGUUGGCUGACGAUUGGCUGACGGGUGAGUAAUACAUCGGAACGUGCCCUGUAGUGGGGUAUAACUACUCUAAAGAGUAGCUAAUAUCGCAUGAGAUCUAAGCAUGAAAUCAGUGGUCCUUCGUGCCUUGCUCUACUAGAUCGGCUGAUGGCAGAGUAGGUAGUUGGUGGGGUAAACGCUUACCAAGCCGACGAUUUGUAGCGGGUCUGAGAGGACGACCAUCGGCCCUGGGAGGGAGACACGGACAAGAGUACUGCGGGAGGCCGCAGUGGGGAAUGUGGGACAAUAGGGGGAAACAUGACCCAGCAGUGCCAAGUGCAAGGUAACAGCCUCCGGGUUGGAAACUGCUUUUGUGCGGAACGAAAAGCCCUCUUCUAAUACAGGACGGGAAUGACGGUACCGUAAGAAUAAGCACCGGCUAACUACGUG
rnacentral:rRNA from 1 species